rnacentral:rRNA from 1 species
CCUACGGGCGGCAGCAGUGAGGAAUAUUGGUCAAUGGGCGCGAGCCUGAACCAGCCAAGUUGCGUGAGGGAUGAAGGUUCUAUGGAUCGUAAACCUCUUUUAUAAGGGAAUAAAGUGCGGGACGUGUCCCGUUUUGUAUGUACCUUAUGAAUAAGGAUCGGCUAACUCCGUGCCAGCAGCCGCGGUAAUACGGAGGAUCCGAGCGUUAUCCGGAUUUAUUGGGUUUAAAGGGAGCGUAGAUGGAUGUUUAAGUCAGUUGUGAAAGUUUGCGGCUCAACCGUAAAAUUGCAGUUGAUACUGGAUAUCUUGAGUGCAGUUGAGGCAGGCGGAAUUCGUGGUGUAGCGGUGAAAUGCUUAGAUAUCACGAAGAACUCCGAUUGCGAAGGCAGCCUGCUAAGCUGCAACUGACAUUGAGGCUCGAAAG